CUGGAGGUAUCAGAAGUGCGAAUGCUGACAUAAGUAACGAUAAAGCGGGUGAAAAGCCCGCUCGCCGGAAGACCAAGGGUUCCUGUCCAACGUUAAUCGGGGCAGGGUGAGUCGACCCCUAAGGCGAGGCCGAAAGGCGUAGUCGAUGGGAAACGGGUUAAUAUUCCCGUACUUGGUGUUACUGCGAAGGGGGGACGGAGAAGGCUAUGUUGGCCGGGCGACGGUUGUCCCGGUUUAAGCGUGUAGGCGGGUGUUCCAGGUAAAUCCGGAACGCUGUUAACGC
rnacentral:rRNA from 1 species